rnacentral:misc_RNA from 1 species
GAUGAAGAACGUAGCGAAAUGCGAUAAGUAGUGUGAAUUGCAGAAUUCAGUGAAUCAUCGAAUCUUUGAACGCACAUUGCGCCUUCUAGUAUUCUGGGAGGCAUGCCUGUUUGAGCGUCAUUAAACCUCUCUCAAGUAUGAUUACUUGGAUGUGAAGGAAGAGUACCUUAAACUUAAGGAGUGUUCUCCUUUGAAAUUGAUUAGCAGAUGGUAAUGUUAUUAAAUCCCUGAUGUUGUAAGAAAUAACAGUGGUUUUGUAGACUAUUAUCUAGCUUUAAAUUAUAAUUUUUAUUAUGGUUGACCUCAAAUCAGGUAAGGAUACCCGCUGAACUUAAGCAUAUCAAUAAGCGGAGG